rnacentral:rRNA from 1 species
GACAAGAUCCACACCGCCAAUGGAGCAGGUAUGCACAUCUCUCAUAUUGGUCAAGCAUCACUUCUCACUAGACAUGCCAAUAGGAGUCUUCAACUUCGCAAUGUUCUUCGAGUUCCAUCUGUGACACGUAAUCUUCUUUCAGUUCCUAAACUCACUCGUGAUAAUAAUGUGCUUUGUGAAUUUCAUCCUUUUGAUCUUUUUAUUAAGGAUCGGGGCACGAGGGACAUUCUUCUUAGUGGGCGGCUCUGCCAAGGUCUCUAUCGUCUGGAGCAUCCUGGCGUCGCUCGCGUCUUCAGUGGAAUUCGGGUAUCUCCGUCACAGUGGCAUGCUCGUCUUGGUCACCCGGCCACACCUAUUGUCCGGCAUGUUUUGCGUCGUCAUGAGCUUCCUAGUGUGUCUAGUAAUAAAGAUGUAGCAGUGUGUGAUGCUUGUCAGCAGGGGAAGAGUCAUCAACUUUCCUUUUCGGAGUCCAGUCGUGAGGUGAAACAUCCUUUAGAACUUGUGUUUUCAGAUGUAUGGGGUCCUGCUCAGACUUCUGUUAGUGGUCAUAAUUACUAUAUCAGUUUUGUUGAUGCUUACAGCCGCUUUACCUGGUUUUAUCUUAUCAAAUGUAAAUCUGAUGUGUUUGACAUUUUU